AUUGAACGCUGGCGGCAUGCUUUACACAUGCAAGUCGAACGGCAGCGCGGGCUUCGGCCUGGCGGCGAGUGGCGAACGGGUGAGUAAUGCAUCGGAACGUGCCCAGUAGUGGGGGAUAGCCCGGCGAAAGCCGGAUUAAUACCGCAUACGACCUGAGGGUGAAAGCGGGGGACCGAAAGGCCUCGCGCUAUUGGAGCGGCCGAUGUCGGAUUAGCUAGUUGGUGGGGUAAAGGCUUACCAAGGCGACGAUCCGUAGCUGGUCUGAGAGGACGACCAGCCACACUUGGACUGGGACACGGCCCAGACUCCUACGGGAGGCAGCAGUGGGGAAUUUUGGACAAUGGGGGCAACCCUGAUCCAGCCAUGCCGCGUGCGGGAAGAAGGCCUUCGGGUUGUAAACCGCUUUUGUUCGGGAAGAAAUCCUCUGGGCUAAUACCCCGGGGGGAUGACGGUACCGGAAGAAUAAGCACCGGCUAACUACGUG
rnacentral:rRNA from 1 species